GCCGGAUCCGUUGACGGGCCGUUUUUGAUUAAGCGGCCUGUCGGCGACCGGCGAUAUAACCUUGAUCAAACUUGAGUGCUCAAGGCAGGCUGUUUAUGCCUGAAAAUAUAUUCAUGGAAUUGGAGAAUAUGUCUCUGACUCGAUUUGGUUGGUUUGCGAGUCGAAGGGAAAUGAUUAAUAGGGACUGACGGAGGCAUUCGUAUUGCGGCGCGAGGGGUGAAAUCCUGUGACCGUCGCAAGACGAACUACUGCGAAAGCAUUUGCCGAGAAUGUUUUCAUUAGUCAAGAACGAAAGUUAGAGGUUCGAAGGCGAUCAGAUACCGCCCUAGUUCUAACCGUAAACGAUGUCAACCUGCAAUCCGCAAUGGUCACAUCAUGGACCGUGCGGGCAGCUCCUCCCGGGGAAACCAGAGUUUGCGGACUCCGGGGGGAGUAUAGGUGCAAACCAGAAACUUAAAGGAAUUGACGGAAGGGCACCACCAGGAGUGGAGCUUGCGGCUUAAUUUGACUCAACACGGGACAACUUACCAGGCCCAGACACUGUAAGGAUUGACAGACUGAGAGCUCUCUCAUGAUUCAGUGGGUGGUGGUGCAUGGCCGUUCUUAGUUGGUGGAGUGAUUUGUCUGGUUUAUUCCGAUAACGAACGAGACUCUGGCCUACUAAACUUGAUACCGUUCGUACUUGUACGUCGGUAUGCUUCUUAGAGGGAUCGUCGGCGCCUUAGCCGAACGAAAGAGAGCAAUAACAGGUCUGUGAUGCCCUUAGAUGUUCUGGGCCGCCCGCGUGUUACACUGAGGCAGACAGUGCGCGCACUCAAACGUCCCUCUCCGCAAGGAGCGGGCAAACGUUUGAAUCUGUCCCGUGAUUGGAAUUGGGGAUUGCAAUUAUCCCCCAUGAACGAGGAAUUCCUAGUAAGCGCAAGUCACCAGCUUGCGCUGAUUAAGUCCCUGCCCUUUGUAC
rnacentral:rRNA from 1 species